GGGGAAUUUUGGACAAUGGGCGCAAGCCUGAUCCAGCCAUGCCGCGUGUCUGAAGAAGGCCUUCGGGUUGUAAAGGACUUUUGUCAGGGAAGAAAAGGACAGGGUUAAUACCCCUGUCUGAUGACGGUACCUGAAGAAUAAGCACCGGCUAACUACGUGCCAGCAGCCGCGGUAAUACGUAGGGUGCGAGCGUUAAUCGGAAUUACUGGGCGUAAAGCGAGCGCAGACGGUUACUUAAGCAGGAUGUGAAAUCCCCGGGCUCAACCUGGGAACUGCGUUCUGAACUGGGUGACUAGAGUGUGUCAGAGGGAGGUAGAAUUCCACGUGUAGCAGUGAAAUGCGUAGAGAUGUGGAGGAAUACCGAUGGCGAAGGCAGCCUCCUGGGAUAACACUGACGUUCAUGCUCGAAAGCGUGGGUAGCAAACAGGAUUAGAUACCCUGGUAGUCCACGCCCUAAACGAUGUCAAUUAGCUGUUGGGCAACUUGAUUGCUUAGUAGCGUAGCUAACGCGUGAAAUUGACCGCCUGGGGAGUACGGUCGCAAGAUUA
rnacentral:rRNA from 1 species